UACGGAGGGUGCAAGCGUUAAUCGGAAUUACUGGGCGUAAAGCGUACGUAGGCGGCUUGUUAAGCAAGAUGUGAAAUCCCCGGGCUCAACCUGGGAAUGGCAUUUUGAACUGGCAGGCUCGAGUUCUGAAGAGGGUGGUAGAAUUUCCAGUGUAGCGGUGAAAUGCGUAGAUAUUGGAAGGAAUACCGGUGGCGAAGGCGGCUACCUGGACCAACACUGACACUGAGGUGCGAAAGCGUGGGGAGCAAACAGG
rnacentral:rRNA from 1 species